rnacentral:misc_RNA from 1 species
ACCACCAAUUUGGUGGUUUGAAAAAUUAUGGUAAAAUGAUGACCAGAAAAUCAUUUAUAACCAUCAUUUUACCAUACAAAACUACCAAUUUUUAAGAAUAAUAUUUCAAUACAUGUAAAGUAACCAUACCAUACAAUAUAACAUAAACUGUGAUCCAAACAUAAUGUUAAAGUCACAAGUUAGAAAAUUGAGAUUAAGAUUUUGGAAGACAGUUAAAAACUCAAUUUCAAGAUGAUUAAUAAAAUGCAAAUCAACUUGCCUUUCCCGAGUGACGCAAACCAACCAAGCCCUUUGAGAAGCAGCGGUGAGACUCUAAUCAGCAUUACAGCCAAGCAAAUAUUAAUCGACCAUCACAGAACAUCUGAGUCCAAAAUAUUCACACUUCACGCUGAACUGUCAUCAAUAAUUUAUUCUAAUCUUCUAUAGCUGAUGCCUGAUGGUGAAAGCCCUUCAUUUCUAGUGAGUAAAAUGAGUGUAGGCAAUCACUUUUGUCAAUGAAAACAAAAACAAAAACAAAAACAAAUACAUAAUGCAAAUUAGGUGUGAAUUCGAUAGUCAGAUAAAAACUGCGCCACUACUAAAGUAUGCACAGACGGUGACCCUCUAAAAAACACACCUUUAAUAUUGUACAGGAAUCAACCACUUGCUUGGUCAAUUGCCCCAUGUUCAAACGCAGGAAAAGUUUCACCAAAUAUUUGUUUUUCUUCUGAUCAAUAAGCAUUUCAUCCAUACAAACAUACUAACAAAUUAGGCCGAGAACUGUUGACUCUAUACUCUAAUGGAAGUUCCAAGGUCAUAGAGAGAGAAAUGAGAGUGAGAAUGAAACUGUUAACUCUAUAUCGUAGCAGAAAUAGAGAGAGAAAAGAGAGUGAGAAUGAAACUGUUAACUCUAUAUCGUAGCAGAAAUAGAGAGAGAAAA